CAACGUUGUUCGGAAUUACUGGCGUAAAGGGCUCGUAGGCGGCCAACUAAGUCCGACGUGAAAUCCCAAAGCUUAACUUUGGAACUGCGUCGGAUACUGGAUGGCUUGAAUUCGGGAGAGGGAUGCAGAAUUCCAGGUGUAGCGGUGAAAUGCGUAGAUAUCAGGAGGAACACCGGUGGCGAAGGCGGGUCUCCUGGGCGAGUAA
rnacentral:rRNA from 1 species